UUUUUUAUUUUUUUAUUUUUUGCUCGCUCGCCUCACUUUUCUGGGGGGAAAAUUCGUUAAACAGUGAAUACAUUUUUUUCUGGCCAGCUGUUUUAGCUGAGGAAUACACAAAUGAGUGGGAUUUAUUUUUUUUUAUUUUUUUUUGAAUCAGAUCCGAUACCUGACCCUCUGCUGUGGCCAGGACCUGGGCUCAGGAAUCAGACGAAUUCUGAGAAAAAUUGGAACAGUGGAGCUGUGGACAGGCUACUCCUUGAAGGGCAGGAAGGGGAAGAGGGCCUUCAAUGAGCUAUCAAUCUAUGAUGCCGUCACAAAGAGGGGACAAAGGAAAGGUGAAGGAGAGAGGUCUCAUGGCCAAAACUGCCUCUGAGGGAAGAGAGGGACAGCCUCUGUCUCAGCAUAGGUGGAAAAGUAGUGAUAUGACAUGGA
rnacentral:lncRNA from 1 species